rnacentral:piRNA from 1 species
UGUAAUUAGGUCUAGCUACAU